GCUUUGCAGUAAUGGACGAUACAGUGGUGGUCGAACCACGCUUUUUUGGGUUUUCAUCUUAACCGUUGGAUGGCUUUCUUAGUCAGUAAUGGGGACCAUCCAACGUCUAGAACCGAAGCACUCCCUCCAUGCGUAACUCGUGUCAUGUCUUGUGCAGUCAUCUUGAUUUGGAAAUGGAAUUAUCAUUUGGUCAAAUCAAAUUCCUAAUGCAAUCACAAAUCAAAACAGAAUAAUUAUUCCGGAAUUUGAAAAGUUAAAGUCUUUUGGCUUCAACCCAUCUUUGUUAGCCGACCCCUAGUGCAUUCACGUGAUUGGGCAACGUACUAUAUCCUUCUCCACUCAGCGUUUCAGAGCCUCAGAGAAAGAGAGAGAGAGAGAGAGAGAUGGAACCCCCACCAUCACAAGCCAUUGAGACUUCUGGCAAGGACCUUGAGUUCCAGGUUGAACAGGAUGAACAAGACAAGGCCAUCGAUACUUGCUGUUCUUGCUGCUACGACUGCUCAGAGAGCUGUUUCUUCGAUUAUUUGUUCUGUAACCUCUGUUGAGGGAGUCUUACAAUUUACUCAAGCCAUGAAAAAUAUCGAAAUGGACCUUCUUGGCAUCAUUAAUCAGGGUGUUGAAACUGCUGUUUGUUAUAUAUAUUGAUAAGUGAAUCAUGGUAAUUUGCUAUAUUAA